rnacentral:tRNA from 1 species
GCGGGGCUGGCGCCGGCGGCGCGCGCGGCCUUUGCGGGGCCAUGGCCGGAACUGGUGGUCUCGGCCGGCCGGCGCUCCGCCCCGGUGGCCCUGUG